UACGAAGGGGGCUAGCGUUGCUCGGAAUCACUGGGCGUAAAGCGCACGUAGGCGGAUUGCUAAGUCAGGGGUGAAAUCCUGGAGCUCAACCUCGGAACUGCCUUCGAUACUGCGGGUCUCAAGUCCGGGAGAGGUGAGUGGAAUUCCUAGUGUAGAGGUGAAAUUCGUAGAUAUUAGGAAGAACACCAGUGGCGAAGGCGGCUCACUGGCCCGGUACUGACGCUGAGGCGCGAAAGCGUGGGGAGCAAACAGG
rnacentral:rRNA from 1 species